UACGUAGGGUCCAAGCGUUGUCCGGAUUUAUUGGGCGUAAAGAGCUCGUAGGCGGCUCGGUAAGUCGGAUGUGAAAACUCCAGGCUCAACCUGGAGACGCCAUUCGAUACUGCUGUGGCUUGAGUCUGGUAGGGGAGCACGGAAUUCCUGGUGUAGCGGUGAAAUGCGCAGAUAUCAGGAGGAACACCCGUGGCGAAAGCGGCUCUCUGGAACGGUACUGACGCUGAGACGCGAAAGCGUGGGGAGCGAACAGG
rnacentral:rRNA from 1 species